AGCUAACGGAGGAAAGAGCCGAAUUUUCGGCUCGGUUCGUAACGCGCGACGGGGGGUGGGGGUGGAGGUAGGAGGGGGCAAAUAUUCUGAUCUCAAAAUAAAUAUCCGCAUACCACCAUGGGGACCGAAUAUUCGGGUCCAGCCCUGGCAACAGGUUAAAGUUUCAUGGAGAAAAAAACAACCCCAUAAAGCUAAAGACCUCCACAGAGAACUGCAGAGUCAGAUGUUAAAGGAGUUUUAUUCGUGACGUAUAACCAAUCAAAUCACUCCAGAAGACAGAGCAACCACAGGUAGAUAAAGGUUCAGAGCCAAAGUAGCACCAUUUUUAAAUGUAUUUAUUACCAUAAGUCAGUAAAAA